rnacentral:rRNA from 2 species
GGGUUGUGAGGUUAAGCGACUAAGCGUACACGGUGGAUGCCCUGGCAGUCAGAGGCGAUGAAGGGCGUGCUAAUCUGCGAUAAGCGCCGGUAAGGUGAUAUGAACCGUUAUAACCGGCGAUACCCGAAUGGGGAAACCCAGUGUGACUCGUCACACUAUCAUUAACUGAAUCCAUAGGUUAAUGAGGCGAACCGGGGGAACUGAAACAUCUAAGUACCCCGAGGAAAAGAAAUCAACCGAGAUUCCCCCAGUAGCGGCGAGCGAACGGGGAGGAGCCCAGAGCCUGAAUCAGCAUGUGUGUUAGUGGAAGCGUCUGGAAAGGCGCGCGAUACAGGGUGACAGCCCCGUACACAAAAGCGCAUGUGCUGUGAGCUCGAUGAGUAGGGCGGGACACGUGGUAUCCUGUCUGAAUAUGGGGGGACCAUCCUCCAAGGCUAAAUACUCCUGACUGACCGAUAGUGAACCAGUACCGUGAGGGAAAGGCGAAAAGAACCCCGGCGAGGGGAGUGAAAAAGAACCUGAAACCGUGUACGUACAAGCAGUGGGAGCACAGGUUUACCUGUGUGACUGCGUACCUUUUGUAUAAUGGGUC